GAGAUGAACAGGAUUUUUUGGGAGAGUGUUGCUGUGAAAUUCCCAUCAUACAUCCCCAUGUCACCCUGAAUAUCCCAGAUCACAUCUGGUUUUGGAAACUAAGCACGAUUGGGCCAGGAGGCUUCAGUUGGACCAAAAGAAGGGAAUAACAUUUUGACUUCAGGAGUAUGGGCCCAAGGCGAUUCACAAAACCAUAAUUGACUUCAGGCUGAUAUUCU
rnacentral:lncRNA from 1 species